rnacentral:rRNA from 1 species
UACGUAGGUGGCAAGCGUUGUCCGGAUUUAUUGGGUUUAAAGGGUGCGUAGGCGGUCUAUUAAGUCAGUGGUGAAAUAUCGCAGCUUAACUGUGAGGGUGCCAUUGAUACUGAUGGACUUGAGUCAAGUCGAGGUAGGCGGAAUUGACGGUGUAGCGGUGAAAUGCUUAGAUAUCGUCAAGAACACCAAUAGUGAAGACAGCUUACUAGGCUUAAACUGACGCUGAGGCACGAAAGUGUGGGAUCAAACAGG